rnacentral:lncRNA from 1 species
AUUGCAGGCAAAGAUGGUGUAGAAGGGGGAAAAACAAUUGAGGAAGUCUAGUUGGCGAAGCAGGACUACUUAGCAAGAGUAUGGUCUGAGCCCAAGGAAACCAUCUACAACCAAGUGUUCAGGAGAGUAAGUUAAGAAGGGAAGUGGCAGAAGGAUCAUGAGUUCCUUGCUUGCAGAGUAAGUGGGGAGAUGAGAAGGAGGAAGCAAUGCUUU